rnacentral:rRNA from 1 species
UACGUAGGGGGCAAGCGUUGUCCGGAAUUAUUGGGCGUAAAGAGCGUGUAGGCGGUCCGGUAAGUCAGCUGUGAAAGUCAAGGGCUCAACCCUUGAAUGCCGGUUGAUACUGUCGGGCUAGAGUCCGGAAGAGGCGAGUGGAAUUCCCGGUGUAGCGGUGAAAUGCGCAGAUAUCGGGAGGAACACCAAUGGCGAAAGCGGUUCUCUGGGACGGUACUGACGCUGAGACGCGAAAGCGCGGGGAGCGAACAGG